UCUUUAGUUUUUUUUUUUUUUUAAAUCACCCGGUGUUCGAUACCCGCUUUUUAGGAAUCCGAUUAUAUUUGAAUUCGCCCUGCGUCGGACCUUAUUUGGGAAAAAGAGCUCCCAACAGAGUGUUUGUCCAUACCCAGAGGUCCAUACCCAGAGUCGAACCUUCGAUCUCUGGGUAGAGAUAGACCAAUCCCUUACCAUUGGACUACCA
rnacentral:lncRNA from 1 species